AUGCAGGUCCGAUGGAUAUAUUCGAAUUAGUGAGUUUGAUCAUGCCUCAGGAUUGAACUGCUGCUCGCAUGCUUUCCAACAUGCAAGUCGCACGGCAGCGCGGGGAGCAAUCCUGGCGGCGAGGUGGCGAAUGGGUGAGUAAUGUAUCGGAAUCGUAUCCUGUAAUGGGGGAUAAACCAGUCGAAAGAUUGGGUAAUACCGCAUACGCACGAGAGUGGAAAGUGGAGGAUCGCAAGACUUCACGUUAUAGGAGCGGCCGAUAUCUGAUUAGCUAGUUGGUGGGGUAAAGGCCUACCAAGGCGACGAUCAGUAGCAGGUCUGAGAGGAUGAUCUGCCACACUGGGACUGAGACACGGCCCAGACUCCUACGGGAGGCAACAGUGGGGAAUUUUGGACAAUGGGCGAAAGCCUGAUCCAGCCAUGCCGCGUGCAGGAAGAAGGCCUUCGGGUUGUAAACUGCUYUAGUACGGGAARAAGGGAUGCUUUGGUUAAUAAAAAAAGUGUUAAAAAUGGUACCGGAAGAAUAAGCACCGGCUAACUACGUGCCAGCAGCCGCGGUAAUACGUAGGGUGCGAGCGUUAAUCGGAAUUACUGGGCGUAAAGCGUGCGCAGGCGGUCUUGUAAGACAGUCGUGAAAUCCCUGGGCUUAACCUAGGAACUGCGAUUGUGACUGCAAGGCUAGAGUGUGUCAGAGGGGGGUGGAAUUCCACGUGUAGCAGUGAAAUGCGUAGAGAUGUGGAGGAACACCGAUGGCGAAGGCAGCCCCCUGGGAUAACACUGACGCUCAUGCACGAAAGCGUGGGGAGCAACCUUGAUUAGAUACCCUGGUAGUCCACGCCCUAAACGAUGUCGACUCCAUUGUUGGGUGGGUAACCACUUAGUACACGAAGCUAACGCGUGAAGUUCGACGCGCCUUGGGRGAUUACGGUCCGCAAGGAUUAAAACUCAAAGGAAUUGACGGGGACCCGCACAAGCGGUGCGAUGAAUGUGGUUUUAAUUCGAUGCAACGCGRAAAACCUUACCUACACUUGACAUGUCAGAAAUCCUGCAGAGAUGUGGGAGUGCCGCAAGGAAUCUGAACACAGGUGCUGCAUGGCUGU
rnacentral:rRNA from 1 species